CAAGAAGUUCAAGAAGACAAAGGAGUGCAAGUAGAUCUACCUGUUGACAAGGCUCCAGCUGAGAUUGUUCAGGAAGAGGAUAUUUAUGCCAUUGCAGAGAAUGUAGAAGAACAGGCAGAGGACGAUGACGGCCACUAUGAAGAUGUGGAUAACCCGGCAAAAAAAGGCUCCUUCAAAAGAAUGUUAGGGCUCUUAUCCAAACCGUCAAAGAAGAAAGAUGAAGAAACGGAAUCCAAGAUUAUAAAAGCACGUGUUAGCAACAUUGGCAAGGAGGAGGAACUUAGUGAUCAACACGAGGGCUCUCCCAACAUGCAGCAAUUACAGCCGAUGCAGAAGGUGGCUAAAAAUGUUCAG